AUGGCCCUGGACCCGGACCCCGUAUCUGAGCCAGCCUGUGAGUUCUCUACUGCUCUUUCCGCAGCCAAGCCUUCCAGACUGGCCCAAAGUUCUCCCUGGUGGUUCUGCCCACAGGAAAGUGGGUUUCCAGGCCCUCGGGCCACCCCCUACCUGGAGCAGGGUAGGAGGCUGGCGCAAAUGCAUUGGCCAACCGGCCACAGGCGCCAGCCGGUCCGGGGUGCCUGGCCCCGCCCCUGGCCCCUGGCCUUGGUGCUGCAGUGCCCCCAGCCCGGGCUCCCUCGGCGAGACCAGCCCCACAGCAACGCAGUCGCUUCGCAGGCUGGCGCUCCUGGGCGAAGGACAGACGGGUGAUGGCUUUCCUGGAGGCUCUUGGGUUUGUUCCUGCUGGUGGCCUAUCUAAGCAGCCCUCCAGGUGGGUGCCCUUGUGCACGAAUCUCGGGGGACGCACUUUGGGCCCAAGGUGGACGUUUUAGAAUAACUCCCACCUUUGCAGUGACAACAGCUACCAAGCCUGCCCACUCACCGUCCAUCCCUUCCCAGGGAGUAGGUGCCUCCUAGACCACCAUGGCCCCCCAGUGGGACUCCGUGUUGCGGGGAUGUGCUCAACCCAAAGACCAGCCGGUGUAUGGGGGUAUUUUCCUGUCGCCUCCAGCUACAGAGUGGGCUUGGUUUUUUUGGAGGGAGGGACGGACUCAAGGUAAUCUCGAAAAUAAAUGUUCACAAAAAGGCAGAUACAGAUUUUAUGCAUAAUAGUAGAAACUGCGAACAGUCCGGGGCCUUGCAAGGGAAGGUGGUUAAAUAGGCUGUGGUCCAGCCCUGCCAUGGGCUCCUACUCAGGAGCGAAAAGGGGCACGCUGCUGCUCCCCCCAGUAACCGGAUGACAUCAGGAGCAGUUAUGCCGAAUGGAAAAGACGGACAGGAAAGACAGGUGCAGAGCUCCGUCGUGCGGCUCCAUUCACAUGAAAUUCUAGAACAGACAAGAUGAACGCCCAGUGAUCCAGUCGAGGCUUACCCUUGGGGAGGGGGAGGCAUCAGGGUGAGCAAUGCUCUCUAUUUUGAUAGAGAUUUGGCUAAUCCAACAUGUCCAUCUGUCAAAACUCCGCAAAUGUUCACUUUAGAUUCGUGCCUUCCACUGUUGGUAAAUUUUGUCUGAAAAAUCCCCAAAUAUUGACCUCUAGCUACCGCUCUGCAGGUGUGGGGGCGAAGUGUCCCGGUGUCUGCAGUUGGCUUUGGACUGCGUUGAAGGAAGGUGGGUCGCUGGGUAGAGAGGGGGUGGAGAGUUGUACUCUCAGAAAUAGAGUGGGGUCCAGGCAGGCUCCUCUGGGGGGCCGCUGGGGGGCCCCAGCAUGAUUCUUCCGCCUCUUCCUUAUGU
rnacentral:lncRNA from 1 species